rnacentral:rRNA from 1 species
CGUGUAGGCGGGUUUGCAAGUCGGGUGUGAAAGAUUCGGGCUUAACCCGGAGAGGUCAUCCGAAACUGCAGAUCUUGAGUGCUGGAGAGGAUAGUGGAAUUCCUGGUGUAGCGGUAAAAUGCGUAGAGAUCAGGAGGAACACCAGUGGCGAAGGCGGCUAUCUGGACAGUAACUGACGCUGAGGCGCGAAAGCGUGGGGAGCAAACAG